rnacentral:tRNA from 1 species
AGGCAUUUAGUCUAAAAAGACCGUUGAUUUCGACUCAAUUAAUUUUGGCUUAACCCAAAAAUACCUU